rnacentral:rRNA from 1 species
CCUACGGGUGGCAGCAGUGGGGAAUAUUGCACAAUGGGGGAAACCCUGAUGCAGCAACGCCGCGUGAGUGAAGAAGUAUCUCGGUAUGUAAAGCUCUAUCAGCAGGGAAGAAGAUGACGGUACCUGAGUACGAAUCCGCGGCUAACUACGUGCCAGCAGCCGCGGUUAUGCGUAGGGGGCAAGCGUUAUCCGGAUUUACUGGGUGUAAAGGGAGCAUAGACGGCCAAGCAAGCCAGGGGGGAAAGCCCGGGGGCCAACCCCGGGACUGCCCUUGGAACUGCAUGGCUGGAGUGCGGGAGGGGCAGGCGGAAUUCCUGGUGUAGCGGUGAAAUGCGUAGAUAUCAGGAGGAACUCCGGCGGCGAAGGCGGCCUGCUGGACCGCGACUGACGCUGAGGCUCGAAAGCGUGGGGAGCGAACAGGAUUAGAUACCCCAGUAGUC